UCGGGAAUUUUGGGCAAUGGGCGAAAGCCUGACCCAGCAACGCCGCGUGAGGGAUGAAGUAUUUCGGUAUGUAAACCUCGAAAGAAUGGGAAGAAUAAAUGACGGUACCAUUUAUAAGCUCCGGCUAACUACGUGCCAGCAGCCGCGGUAAUACGUAGGGAGCAAGCGUUGUUCGGAUUUACUGGGCGUAAGGGCGCGUAGGCGGCGCGGUAAGUAACUUGUGAAAUCUCUGAGCUUAACUCAGAACGGCCAAGUGAUACUGCUGUGCUAGGGUGCGGAAGAGGCAACCGGAAUUCUUGGUGUAGCGGUGAAAUGCGUAGAUAUCAAGAGGAUCACCUGAGUCGAAGGCGGGUUGCUGGGCCGACACUGACGCUGAUGCGCGAAAGCCAGGGGAGCAAACG
rnacentral:rRNA from 1 species